CUCCUCCCAGCUUGGUGAAGCUCCUCAUGUGAUCCAUUCUUCCUCCUAAAUAAAGUUGAACAUUUUGGCUGGGAUCAGUGAGUGCUGCUGAGGUGGCUGGCGUGUGCAGCUAUUCCAGCCUCGCAGGGUCUGCAGCGCGACCAACCCGCAUAUCCAGCACUAGCUGCCUCUCCGUUUUAAAGAGCACGGCGGAGGAGAAUGGUUAGUUAACACCGUGGCAGACUUCAUGCUCGGGGCUGUUUUGCCAGCCCCACAGCCCCUGACAACCCUCCCUCUCCAAAGUAGCCCCUGGGGCUGAGAAAGAUGUGGCCGGGCAAGGUAAUUUUUCCAGACCCCAGCUUUGCAAUCAGUGAUGACAUCUCUGAAUUUCCAGUUUAAAAAGGACAAAAAAUAAAAUCUCUUCCAGACAAGGUGAAUGUGAGAACAAAUAUUAAAGAAGAGGAAAAAAAAUCCGUUCAUUAGAAUGAAAGAUUUUUUUCUGUAACUGAUUUUGUUAGAAACUAUGAUGUUAGAAAAACCAAGUCUGCCUCUCAGCAAAAAAUCUGCCUUUGAUUUUAUUGUCUUUGGGGAAUACUUCAGGGGAAAGAAAACACUCACUGUGAAGCAAAUUCAUAAGAUGUAAACUAUGCUCAUUGUAGCGCUUAUUUUUCCUUUAAGCCUGAGGAGGAGCCCUGCCACCAGAAUGUUACAGGAAAAUUGAUUUGAUUUUCUCUAAUUAUCCAUUCAAGAAAACAAAGAUUCAAAAACUGGCAGUGAGAUCAGCAGCUUUUUCUUCUGACAGAGAAGGUGACAGUGAGCACCAGUUUCUGACUUAUACACCGUGUGGAUAUAGAUGACGUGCAUUGUUAACUUUCUGACACAUCCUCUUCCUUAUAAACUGCAUGGCUUCAUAAACAAACAAUACUUCUGAGCCCCAUCUAUGCCUUGAGAAGCCGAGAAAAAAAUUUUUUAUGGACAACGUUGGCUACAUGGGAAUCCUAGUUCAUGUUUCUUCAGAAAUUUUGAGUGAGUGAGAGCAACUACUGAAUCCCAAUGAGGCCCAAGUUCAAUGAAACUCCUGUACCUGCACUUUUGGCUUUGACGGAAUAUGAAAACUUUGCUAAGCUGAAUGCAACAGGAGACACUGAAACUAAACAGCUAGAAGGGUCCCUCUCAUCCACGGUUGCACUAAUAAUAGUGCUGAUCAUUAUUUUCUCUUUGAUAAUGACAUCCUUAGUGACCUACUGUUUCCACAAGUGGCAACUGAGGGGUAAAAAACUGCAGAAAGCGCAGGAGGAAUAUCAGCGAGACCAUGAAAAGAGCAUGUUCCAAAGCAUGUCAGGACUUGUUUCAUAAAAGAAAUCAAUCCAACAUGAAAUAUUCCUGCAUUACCUGAACGUGAAAAAUAACUAACUAUUGGAAGCUACAUAUUGAAAUGUCCACCUAAAUAUAUCCUGGUUUUACCUAAUUUGUAAGAAUUUUUAAUAGUUUGGAAAUUUGCAACGGCUUCCUUAUAAGUCAAAAAUAUUCAGUUGUCUCAUUUGUGCAAAGUAAAAUAAAUGCAACCAUGUAUUUUAAUCCGCAUUUUAUUUACAAAAAAAACCAGUAGAUCAAACCCUGCUGUCCUUACUCUAUCAAAAUUCCCAUGGAAGUCAAAGGGCCAGAGUCUCAGCUCGUUCCAAUCAGCAUAGCUGAUAGGAGUUGAUCAUUAGCAGAUGAUCUGGCUCGAAAUUUGAUAAACUAAUGAAAGCUUUAUCUGAGUAAGGUCCACAGGAUUUUCCAAAUUACCACCCAAUCCUGAAAGCCUUCUGGGGCAGAACUCCCAAAGACUUCAAGAAGAGUUCCAUGCACAGAUUGAGCCCUAAGUUUGCUAGCAGACUGUAUGUUGAUAAUAAUUCCAUUUAUUUUGUUUAGGGUCCAUGGGAAUUGAGGGCACUCAACACCUCACAUGAUGGUCCCAGACUUAUUAAGGAGCAUGCAAGCUGAACACACUUUUUUAAAGCUUGCCAUUAUUUUUAACCAGGCUUACAAUGGCGUGUUUCUAUUUUUGUAGCCUGUAAUGUUAUGUCAUGCAAAAGAUGCCGACUCUAUUGUGGGUAACAUAUGUAAGUAAUAUUUUCUAACAAAGUGUUGGAUGUAACAUCAGUAUAAGUAGCUGUUUUAAAAUGUAGAAAAUAUGUAAAAAAUGCAAACAAAAACCCUGCUCAAGUAUAUAGCUUGCUUGCAAUUACCAUUAGCUGGUGCUGUAUGUAUCUUUAAACAAGCUAUAAUACUGUGAUAAUGCUGUACACUUGC